ensembl:lncRNA
GUAACAUCUCCGUGGAUCUGCGGGACUUUACUGUCUGUCUCCUUCGUGGGCUUUACCUGUGCAGGGCACAAAAGCAUCACAGCUGAGUCUGGGCAGGAUGUCACUCUGACAUGUGGAGCUCCAAACAAGAACAUCAUAGUGGUAGAGUGGAGCAGAACUGACCUGCAGCCAGAUUAUGUCCUCUUGUACCGGGAUGAUCUGUUUGUUCCAGACAACCAGCAUCCAUCUUUUAAGAACCGGGUGGAUCUGCAGGACAGACAGAUGAAGGAUGGAGACGUGUCUCUGAUUCUGAAGGAUGUGACGAUUAAUGACACUGGAACAUACGAGUGUCGUGUGUUCAUGAGAGGAGCAAACCGCAGGAAGAGAGCUCAUCUGAAGACUAAGCCAAUCACCACCAUCAGCUUAAAUGUUUCUCCAGGUCAGACAGGAGGACACACAGAGGAUGGAGGGAAGGAGGAUGGAGGGAAGGAGGAUGGAUCUGUUGGACUGAAAGUUGGUCUUCCAGUUGGGGUUAUUGUUGUCGCUGCUGUUGUUGGUGUUUGUUUUUUGAUCUAUAGAAAACUUAAACAACGUAACCAGGGUACAUACGAGCCUCCAGUUGAAUGUCAGCCUGUUGGAAAUGUCUCAGUGUUUUCCAGCUGAUCUGAGACUCCUGCUGUUACAGAGGUGACACUGAGCACUCAGGGUAAAGCCAGUUGUGGUUUUUCAAUCAUGUAAGUGAAACAGGAGCAAACUGAAAUGUCACACAUGCCAUCAAGAAGUGGCAAAAAAGAUUUUUAUGGGUUUUAAAUGUUCUUUUAAUUUUAGUCCAGGAAACCUUUUCAGGUUUUAUGUUUAAACGUCCAUUAUAGAGUUGAUUUUUAUGGGUUUUAAAUGUUCUUUUAAUUUUAGUCCAGGAAACCUUUUCAGGUUUUAUGUUUAAACGUCCAUUAUAGAGUUGGUUUUUAUGGGUAAUAGAAAAAUAGUUCAGUAAGUUUAGUAUUAUAAAAGUCUAAACUGCUUACAAAACAAAUGUAAGGUUACUAACAUCAAACAUGUUCUGUUUGUACUGUGAGCUGUAGCUGCUACUUCCUGCUCUCGACCUCCUGCUGAGCUAACGUCUCUUUAACUUUACUUUUAAUAUCAAACUACCUGCUGCUUCACUUUGAACAGAUAAAACACUCAUGUUUAUAUCACAGAAGCUUUUAAUAUUUACUAUAUUCAGCUUUAAGCACUGCACACACUUCUUAACUUUGUUAUUGCACACUAGUUGUUUAUUUUUCUUUCUGCCUUAAUAAAAACUUUCUGACUUGUCCAAUCAGUUCGUGCAGAUUUCAGGGACUUUAUGAUCAAAAUGUUUUACUGUAAAAGUGCCUUCAGGUGGUUGUUGUUGUUGUUGUUUCCUGGUGCUUUGUGAAUAGACUCAAAUUUUCUUUUAAAUCAGCUUCAAUCAAAUAACCAUAACCUUCCACCAGGGAGCACUUUAACAUACACAGACCUGUCUGUAACCCAUUUACUGUCAGUUUUCUUAUGGAAAUUACUUCACCCGUAUGCUUAGACACUCGAACACAUUGUACAGUAAGAGUUUAUUGGUGCUGUUAUUUACUUUUACAUGGAAAAAUUUUCUAUUUAAAAAUAUAUUUAAAAAUUCAUCUGUAGAUAUGACUUUAUGUGUUAAUGUUCAGAUAUUAAAUCAUGUUCAUUGUAUCUCCCAAAGUAAAAGCUUACAGGCAAACAUCACAUUCAUCAUCAGUGAUUCAUUCCUUUCUAAACUGUAAAUGAACACAAUAA